GAUGAACGCUGGCGGCGUGCCUAAUACAUGCAAGUCGAGCGAACGGACGAGAAGCUUGCUUCUCUGAUGUUAGCGGCGGACGGGUGAGUAACACGUGGAUAACCUACCUAUAAGACUGGGAUAACUUCGGGAAACCGGAGCUAAUACCGGAUAAUAUUUUGAACCGCAUGGUUCAAAAGUGAAAGACGGUCUUGCUGUCACUUAUAGAUGGAUCCGCGCUGCAUUAGCUAGUUGGUAAGGUAACGGCUUACCAAGGCAACGAUGCAUAGCCGACCUGAGAGGGUGAUCGGCAACACUGGAACUGGGACACGGUCCAGACUCCUCCGGGAGGCAGCAGUAGGGAAUCUUCGGCAAGGGGCGAAAGCCUGACGGAGCAACGCCGCGUGAGUGAUGAAGGUCUUCGGAUCGUAAAACUCUGUUAUUAGGGAAGAACAUAUGUGUAAGGAACUGUGCACAUCGUGACGGUACCUAAUCAGAAAGCCACGGCUAACUACGUG
rnacentral:rRNA from 1 species